rnacentral:rRNA from 1 species
GCUAAGAAUAUUCCGCAAUGGACGAAAGUCUGACGGAGCGACGCCGCGUGGAUGAAGAAGGCCGAAAGGUUGUAAAGUCCUUUUGUUGGGGAAGAAUAAGCGCGGGAGGGAAUGCCCGCGUGAUGACAUGAACCGACGAAUAAGCCCCGGCUAACUACGUGCCAGCAGCCGCGGUAACACGUAGGGGGCGAGCGUUGUUCGGAAUUACUGGGCGUAAAGGGCAUGUAGGCGGCCUUGUAAGCCUGGCGUGAAAGUCACCGGCUUAACCGGUGGAUUGCGUCGGGAACUGCAGGGCUUGAGUCACGGAGAGGGAGCUAGAAUUCCUGGUGUAGGGGUGAAAUCUGUAGAGAUCAGGAAGAAUACCAAUGGCGAAGGCAAGCUCCUGGCCGAUGACUGACGCUGAGGUGCGAAAGUGUGGGGAUCAAACAGGAUUAGAAACCCCUGUAGUCC